ensembl:lncRNA
AAGGUGGCACUGUAGGAGCAGCUCAGGAUUGCAGCUCCCAAGGAAAGCACAGAAGAAUUUCACAUAAUCCAUUGCCAGUGGAAUUUCACAAAGUCCCUGACUUAGUGACUGAGCGCAGCCCUCCAAAAGAAUGCCCUGAAAAUGAGAGAGCACAGGCUCCCAUGUCUCUUGCCUGAAUCAGUGCAUUUUUUAGAAAAGGUUUAAUGCUACUUUUGGUCUUGGGUGGAACAUUUCCCCAUUAAGUAUAGGAGCUGAUGUCCAGAAAGGACGGGAGACUGAAUGUGACAAUCCAGAAGUGCAGGAGUUAGCUCCUUGGAGGGUAAAAUAUGACCAGUGAAGAACAGGGACCAAGUGAAUAAGUGACUUCUUUUUUUCUUCAGUGGACCAUCCAAGGUAUGGCUUUUCCUUACAAUCCAGCUGGAGAAGCCCUGCACCAAGUAGCCACCUGCUGACUUCCUGGCAUGUGAGGGUAGAGGCAGCAUAGUGGCACCCAUUACAUCACACUGCUUAGCAUCUUCCCUUCUCUCACCUCCUUCCCUCCUUUCCAAUAACUGACCUCAGUGUGUAAAACCCAAGUGAGCUGCUGGCAUCUUAAUCCUAGCUUGAGCCUCUACUUUCUAGAGAACCUACCCAAAACAAAAACAGUCUCUCUCUAUAUAUGCA